rnacentral:sRNA from 1 species
GAGAGCUUUUUCCCAUCUUCAAUAGCUAACAAAAACUCUUUCUUUUCUUUAAAAAUCCCAAAACCUUUACUAGACUUUUUCUGCUUCUUUAGCUUACUUCACCUAGAGUCUUUUACCUUUUCUCAUCAAUGAAUCAACCCAUUUUUUUUAUUUUAAACACACCCCAACCCAAAGUAUAAGUGCCCACCAAGUUCUAUCUAGUCCAAAAAAUGCAAACUAGAACUACAUGAGACACUAUCUCUGUCGUUACGAACCUAACACUUUCUACCAAGCUUAAUCGGAAUAAGACCUCACAAACACUCACAAGUGAUAUAGGGCUUGAAAGAAUGUCUAGGUUUGGGUUCGGGUUAACUGCUCUAAUAAGGAGAGUCAGCUACGUGGAUUAACAAGAGUGAUCAAAAUGAAUAAGAAAAUCCAAGUAUUUUAGGGUAACCAUGAGUUCAAAUUUGAUGCUGACAUGAUAAUUAAA